GGAUUCANCCGACUCGCGCGUGUAUGUCCCNUACGGCUUACAGUUGGUUNUUUAGAGUCUCACACUGCCCCGGGUCGGUAUACAGCCUCACAUGCAGUCGAGCGGCGCCGUGUUACUUAUGAGGUGGCGAGCGGCGGAGCGGGUGAGUAAUGCCUAGGGAUCUGCCCAGUCGAGGGGGAUAACAGUUGGAACGACUGCUAAUACCGCAUACGCCCUAACGAGGGGAAAGAGGGGGACCUUCAGGGCCUCAUCGCAGAUUGGAUGAACCUAAAGUGGGAUUAAGCUAGUUGGUGAAGGUAAUAGGCUCACCAAGGCGACAGAUCCCUAGCUGUUCUGAGAANGAUGAUCAGCCACACUAGGGACUGAGACACAGGCACCAGACUCCUACGAGAGAGGCAGCAGUGGGGAAUAUUGCACAAUAGGGGGAAACCCUGAUAGCAGCCAUGCCGACGUGUGUGAAAGAAGGCCUUCGGGUUGUAAAGCACUUAUCAGUAGGGAGGACAACGGGUGAGUCUUAAUACAGGCUCAUCAUGUGACGUANACCUACAGAAGAAGGACCAGGCUAACUCCGUGCCAGCAGCCGCGGUAAUACGGAGGGUCCAGAGAGCGUAACUCGGCAAUUAACAUNGGGCGUACACGCGUGCNCCAGAGCGGGUUAGUACACAGACGAAGCAUGUGAAAAGCCCUAGGGACUCAAACCUUAGACUACGCACUCACCGAAACUGGCGAAACNAAGAAUCCAAGUCAGCAGGGGGGGAACACUCCCAGGUGGUACACGGAGAAAAUGCAGUAACGAUCUCGGAGGNANAACGGGGGAAAAGGAGGCCCCUGAGACAAGAACUGAAAGCCAAG
rnacentral:rRNA from 1 species